GAUGAACGCUGGCGGCAGGCUUAACACAUGCAAGUCGAGCGCCCCGCAAGGGGAGCGGCAGACGGGUGAGUAACACGUGGGAACCUUCCUAGAGGUACGGAACAACUCAGGGAAACUUGAGCUAAUACCGUAUACGCUCUUGCGAGGAAAGAUUUAUCGCCUUUAGACGGGCCCGCGUCGGAUUAGCUAGUUGGUGGGGUAACGGCCUACCAAGGCGACGAUCCGUAGCUGAUCUGAGAGGAUGAUCAGCCACACUGGGACUGAGACACGGCCCAGACUCCUACGGGAGGCAGCAGUGGGGAAUCUUGGACAAUGGGCGCAAGCCUGAUCCAGCCAUGCCGCGUGAGUGAAGAAGGCCUUCGGGUUGUAAAGCUCUUUUGCCAGGGACGAUAAUGACGGUACCUGGAGAAUAAGCCCCGGCAAACUUCGUGCCAGCCGCCGCCGUAAGAC
rnacentral:rRNA from 1 species